rnacentral:lncRNA from 1 species
AUGGGCAAGUUCAAAGACCUAGCACCGAGCCCCGAGCUCCGAGCCCCGAGCCCCCAAGCCCUUGAGCCCCAGAGCCCCGAGCCCCAGAGCCCCGAGCCCCAGAGCCCCCCGAGCCCUGAGCUCCGAGCCCCGAGCCCUGAGCUCCGAGCCCCGAGCCCCCAAGCCCUUGAGCCCCAGAGCCCCGAGCCCCAGAGCCCCCCGAGCCCCCAAGCCCUUGAGCUCCAGAGCCCCGAGCCCCGAGCUCCGAGCGGCGAAACAUUUUCUGUUGGCACAGGAUUCUCCGGCUUCUCUUCAGACAAAAAAAAUCAACCUGUAAGUUUGAAUUCUUUUUCACCGUUAUCAUCAGUCGGUUAGUUCAGUGACGUUACAACUCUUUUAACGGAAAAAAUGGAUGGUAGAUAUACUUCUUCCAAAUGUGUGCCCUUCAAUUCCCAAUCAUACACGGUGAAAUAUAAGAAACUCCACGUGGUAAUUUUUGAAAAAUACUGGACAGUAGUUGAAUUAAGUACCUACCUAUAUGUUAGCCGUGUCAAGUCUUUAGUCUCACUCUAUCUUACCUACUUAGCAUAAUGUUUGCAAGGCUCUUAGAUGUCAUGAACAGACAAGUUGAAAGUUCUGAAUCACAUAAGCGUCUUAUGAGCCAUAGAGAUUUCAGAGCGGUGAUACUUAUGAUGCGAAAUGACAAGUGGGGAUACUCAAUAUUCUUGGAAAGUAUAAUACAGCUUUCAUGGCGAGGUGUUUUCGAUUCAACUCGAGGCAUUCUUUCGUAUAUGUCACUGUUGACUCUGUGUAGCUUACCUACACGAUGACAGAUUCAUUGUUGGACAAGAAGGAAUGAUUGCAAAACAUAUUCUCCACUUAGUACUCGACAAGGCCUCGUAUCUCGACAUUGUUGCUGACAUUAUUUCAAGGCAACGAAUGCCGAGGAAUGCUUCUACUUAGUUCCACCAAUGAAUCAUCUCAAGGGAUCUUUACGUACAAGAAGUUGUCAAACUUCUCUCACAUUUAUUUGCUCUCUAACUGUUCCACGACUGGAAACUGUCUUAACAGGAUUUUUCUGUGAUUAUUUUCAGAGGAAAAUAUGCAUGCAAUGCGGCUAUAAAGAACAAAGGGAUAAAAAAGCCAAAGGCUUCCGGUCAGCGAAGGAUUCACCAGGCAAAUACAGAUGCACCUCCUGCCAAAGAGAAUAUUAUCGAAAAAAAAUAAAUUAACUUCAGUUUCCGGUGAGCCUAUUUAUUCCAUUUUUAACAUUUUGAAAUAUUCGCAUUGAUCACAAUUUUCAAAUUUUUGUAGCAGUAAAAGACAGAAAAUUUUCUUAAGUGUAUGCACAAUACAAGGGUAUUUUCCCUUUGAACGCGAUAAGUUGCAUAUUUUAGUAUUUCUUAAAUGUUUUUUUCCGUUUAAUUCGUUGUUGUUGAUUUUCAUCAGCUGAGUUGGGAGUGGUGGAUAGGACUAUGUUUGAAGUAAAGAAAUUAGAAAUUAUUGUUUUUCAUACUUCUAAUUCCGAAUUUCGCUGGCCAGGUUGUACCGACCUACGUCACAGAGUAAAUAAACCUCGAGAUGCAAACACUUCCUGUUUUUCUUCUAUGCUAUUUCCCAUAUCAGAAAAAAAAUUAUAAAAAAUACUGUGAAAUCACUUCUUCCCACUUUCAAAUGAAUUAAGCAAUACAAAAACAUAUCCAUGCUAAUUAUUCAUUUCAUUUGAAAUAUUUUAGUAAUUUUAGAAGGAGAUUAAAAAUUAUGGAAAAUAAAUUACCUAUAUUUUCUAAUUUCAUAUUUUGAUCCACAGGGUAACAAUAGUCCAAGGCAGUAGCCACCUCCGCAUUAGCACGUUGGAUUUUCAGUGAGGCACGUUUAAUUCUCUCUCGGGGAUCCACCGGAACAACAGUCAUGUAUUUUUAAUUUCGCCUAAUGUUGUCUGAUGCUGAUCGGUUGUUGGCACUAUGGCCGCUUGUUUACAUUCUUCCUAAUCAAUUGCAAAGCGGAAAAUUUUCCAAUUUUUCCUUCGAAACUCUUCCAAAUUGUCAUAAAAUGACUUAUUACUAGGUAAAAAAUUAAUUCAGCCCUUUUACUCAACAUUUGUGAUACUUUCGGUGGUUUCAUUUUAUGUAGUGAAAAGCAGAUUCCUCGAGACUCUGAGCCUGGUCCUCGAAUUGUACAACUUCUUGAUGGAUAAUUUUAGUUAAAAAUUUCCUUCGACUUUAAAUGGUGUAUAAUUUUUUCUAAACAGUAUUAGUGUUAUGGCUGCAAAGUGUUGAUACUUGUUGUUGAGGAGCCGUGCGGGGCUGCCGAUUCGUGAGUUAUUACUCACAUCGUGAGUAAUUUGAGCACCAAUGAGUAACACGUGAGUAAUGAGUAAUUGGUGAAAUGUUUGAGUAUCGGCAGCCCUGGAGCCAUGUAAAUAAAACGUUUGGAUAAGCUCGCAAGCUGUGCGAAUUCUUUAGUGUGUGGAAAAUAACUGAAUGUCCAGAAUUCUCAACAUCUGACAGUAAUUCUGGACAUUUAGCUAUUUUUCUUACACAAAAGAAUUCGUACAGCCUGCGAGCUUGUCCAACUGUUUCAUUUACACGGCUCUUCAAAGACACAUAUCGACACUUUGCAGUCGUAAUGCUCUGCGUUUAAUGCGUUACAUCAGGCUUCGGCUUAGGAUUUUGGAAACAGAAUUAUUUACAGAAAAUUAUCUUGAAAAAAGUAUACACCAUUUACAGUCAGAGAGCAUUUCGAUAAUUAAAAUAAUUAUUCUAAAGGAAGUCGAACGAUCCGAGGACCAGGCUAAGUCUCCAGGAAUCUAUUUCUCACUGCAUGAAGUGAAACCACCGAAAGUAUUAUAAAUGUUGAGUAGAAAGUGUGAAUUAAUUAUUUAUUCGGUAAAAAGUCAUUUUAUGACAAUUUCAAAGAGUUUCAAAGGAAAAAUUGGAAAAUUUUCCGCUUUGCAAUUGAUUAGGAAGAAUGUAAACAAAUCACCAUAUUGCUAACAGCCAACCAGAUUCGACUAGCACCAGUCAACAUUAGGCGAAAUUAGAAAAAAUGACGCUGUUUGUGAUCCGCGAGAGUGCCCGUGCUCGUCUCUGCGUCUGCUCGCUCGUCAGUG